rnacentral:rRNA from 1 species
UACGUAGGUGGCAAGCGUUGUCCGGAUUUACUGGGCGUAAAGGGCGUGCAGGCGGUUUGUUAAGUGCAGAGUGAAAGCUCCCGGCUCAACUGGGAGAGGUCUUUGCAUACUGGCAAACUCGAGGGAGGCAGAGGAAAGUGGAAUUCCCGGUGUAGUGGUGAUAUGCGUAGAUAUCGGGAGGAACACCUGUGGCGAAGGCGGCUUUCUGGGCCUUACCUGACGCUGAGACGCGAAAGCGUGGGG